GACGUAGGGCGCGAGCGUUGUCCGGAAUCAUUGGGCGUAAAGCGCGUGUAGGCGGCUAGAUAAGUCUGCUCUGAAAGCCCGGGGCUCAACCCCGGGAGGCGGGUGGAUACUGUCUAGCUCGAGUCCGGAAGAGGAGUGUGGAAUUCCUGGUGUAGCGGUGAAAUGCGCAGAUAUCAGGAGGAACACCAAUGGCGAAGGCAGCACUCUGGGACGUGACUGACGCUGAGACGCGAAAGCGUGGGGAGCAAACAGG
rnacentral:rRNA from 1 species